rnacentral:rRNA from 1 species
GACAGAGGUGCCGAGCGUUAGGCGGAAUCACUGGGCUUAAAGCGUGUGUAGGCGGGUGCCUAAGUACUUUGUGAAAUCCCACGGCUCAACCGUGGAACUGCUUGGUAUACUGGGUAUCUUGAGCCACUUAGGGGCAACCGGAACAAACGGUGGAGCGGUGAAAUGCGUAGAUAUCGAGGAGGAACACCGGUGGCGAAGGCGGGUCUCUGGGCCGAUAUUGACGCUGAGGAGCGAAAGCGUGGGGAGCGAACAGG